rnacentral:rRNA from 1 species
UACGAAGGGGGCUAGCGUUGUUCGGAAUUACUGGCGUAAAGGGCGCGUAGGCGGUCCUGAUCGUCGGAUGUGAAAGGCCUGGGCUCAACCUGGGAAUGGCAUCCGAUACGGCGGGACUGGAGUGUGGGAGAGGUUGGUGGAAUUCCCAGUGUAGAGGUGAAAUUUCGUAGAUAGUUGGGAAAGAACACCGGUGGCGAAGGCGGCCAA